rnacentral:rRNA from 1 species
UACGAAGGGGGCUAGCGUUGCUCGGAAUUACUGGGCGUAAAGGGUGCGUAGGCGGUUUGUUAAGUCUGUUGUGAAAUCCCCGGGCUCAACCUGGGAAUGGCAAUGGAUACUGGCGAGCUAGAGUGUGAUAGAGGAUGGUGGAAUUCCCGGUGUAGCGGUGAAAUGCGUAGAGAUCGGGAGGAACAUCAGUGGCGAAGGCGGCCAUCUGGAUCAACACUGACGCUGAAGCACGAAAGCGUGGGGAGCAAACAGG